GAUCCUGCCAGAGGUCACUGCUAUCGGUGUUCGUCUAAGCCAUGCGAGUCAUAUGUUCUUCGUGAACAUGGCAUACUGCUCAGUAACACGUGGAUAAUCUGCCCUUGGGACCGGCAUAACCCCGGGAAACUGGGGAUAAUUCCGGAUAAACCGUAUCUGCUGGAAUGCUUUACGGUUGAAAUGGAUUCGUCCGCCCAAGGAUGAGUCUGCGGCCUAUCAGGUAGUAGCGGGUGUAAUGUACCUGCUAGCCUACGACGGGUACGGGUUGUGAGAGCAAGAGCCCGGAGAUGGAUUCUGAGACAUGAAUCCAGGCCCUACGGGGCGCAGCAGGCGCGAAAACUUUACAAUGCGGGCAACCGUGAUAAGGGGACACCGAGUGCCAGCAACAAUUGCUGGCUGUCCAUGUGCUUAAAUUGCACGUGCUAGCAAGGGCCGGGCAAGACCGGUGCCAGCCGCCGCGGUAACACCGGCGGCCCGAGUGGUGAUCGUUAUUAUUGGGUCUAAAGGGUCCGUAGCCGGUUUAGUCAGUCCUCCGGGAAAUCUGCCAGCUUAACUGGUAGGCUAUCGGGGGAUACUGCUAGACUUGGAACCGGGAGAGGUAAGAGGUACUACAGGGGUAGGAGUGAAAUCUUGUAAUCCCUGUGGGACCACCUGUGCGAAGGCGUCUUACCAGAACGGGUUCGACGGUGAGGGACGAAAGCUGGGGGCACGAACCGGAUUAGAUACCCGGGUAGUCCCAGCCGUAAACGAUG
rnacentral:rRNA from 1 species